GUGUAUCAGAGCUGGCUGUAGAUGGAGACAAAAUCAUUGUAUUUGGGCCAAAGAAGGAGAGCAAGAUGUGACAGAGAAUGCUUGCAAAAAGAUCUCUUCUUCAAAAGUGAGGCCAAAGAUAACCUGCAUCUUUCCCAGUACUGUAUCUUACUUUGGCAGACACAAUGCUCUGCUGACUGGAACUGACCUUGAAGAUGUGAUUGGAGUAAAGGUUCAGGCAGAACUGGACUGUUCUUCAAAGGA